rnacentral:rRNA from 1 species
CUACGGGCGGCACCAGUGAGGAAUAUUGCACAAUGGGGGGAACCCUGAUGCAGCAACGCCGCGUGGAGGAUGACGCAUUUCGGUGUGUAAACUCCUUUUAUAUGUCAAGAAAAUGACGGUAGCAUAUGAAUAAGCACCGGCUAACUCCGUGCCAGCAGCCGCGGUAAUACGGAGGGUGCAAGCGUUACUCGGAAUCACUGGGCGUAAAGGACGCGUAGGCGGGUUGGAAAGUCAGGUGUGAAGUCCUACAGCUUAACUGUAGAACUGCACUUGAAACUUCUAAUCUAGAGUAUGGGAGGGGGAGAUGGAAUUAGUGGUGUAGGGGUAAUAUCCGUAGAUAUCACUAGGAAUACCUAAAGCGAAGGCGAUCUCCUGGAACAUUACUGACGCUAAGGCGUGAAAGCGUGGGGAGCAAACAGGAUUAGAUACCCCCGUAGUC